rnacentral:lncRNA from 10 species
CAGCAAAAUGCUGGGACACCCCAAAAAAACCCUCCACUCUUAGACUAUGCAGCCAGAAACCUGGUUUCCUUAGAGAGUGGUUCUGAAUUUCACUUCCCAGGAGGAGGAUGACUUCAGAGCUGCAAUAUUUGGAGUGUGGCAGAGCAGAGAUCAAAUGGGUAGGGUGCUACAGGGAUUGAUGGCUAUCUUGCAGGAGUUAGAGGAGGGAGAUGCACUUGGCUCAGAUGCUGAGUGUCUGAAGUCAGAUCCCAGACCCCAUGUGAGUGAGCAAGUGCAGAGAUAAGCAGUGAAGGUUGAGCCCUUAAGGGAUGCCCACAAUCAACUGUUAAUGAAAAGGGAAGAAAGGGAAGCUCAGAGCCUCAGCCAGCCCUGGUAGCCUGGCUCUGAGAAAGACUGGGGUCCUCCCCGAGCUGUGCUGUCUGUGGGGACUCUAUGGACCACUGUCUUUUCCAAGGACACAUUCAGUUCUGUACCACACAGCUGCCUUCAUACUUAUAUUGGUUCCCUCCUUUUUCAGGACCAGGAAGAUGGGACCAUGCUGACUGCCUCCUAAUUGAUCUUCCUGCAGCACAUUCUUCUGCCUCCAGCAUAUCUCAUCCACUGUUGCCAGAUAAAUCUUACUAAAGCAGGGCCCAGAUGGUGUCACUUCCCUGCUCUGAUGCCUUUGAAGACUCCCCACGGCCUAGAGAAUCAAGAACAGACUCUUCAGCGUGCUCUGUGAGGCCCUUGAGAUCUGGGCUCAUUACUCCAAGACCUCUUCCCUUCAUGCACCUUCGCCCCUCUGUUUGUUAGUGUGGCAGGUCUUCGCUUAAGCUUUCUUUUACCUACAGUGUUUUUCCACCAACUGUAAGCUUUUAAACCUUACCUAAUCUUUCAGGGCUAUCAGAUGUGAUGUUUGCAUAAACACUUCCCUGAAUCCCUCCGGUUACAAGUGAACAUUACUACUUUGGAUUUUGUGGCAUUUAUUGCUUUUUUUUUUCUGUCGCAUUCAUUUAUUCAACAGGUAGCAAAUGCCUUGACGAUUUUUUUUAAAAGGGGCUCAAUGAAUAGCUGUUUAAUUCUUUUUUUUUUUUUUUGGCCAUUUUACCACUUUCUGUUACUAAUGAGGAAGAUGUCAUAAGUUGCUUGACUUAUGUGGUAUAAUGUGGCUGUUUUCCUGAAACAUUAUUGAAUUAAACUCUGAAGUCAAGGGCUCAAACAAACUUUAAAAUAAAAAAAAAUAUUUAAGAGA